AUGUCCAGAAUAAGCUCUCGGUGCGUUCGGCCGUCUGACCGUGGACGCCUCCACUCGGGUGUCGGACCGAAAGUCUGCUGCCCGGGACAGUGUCAGGUCAAGAAUUCUUCCGGCCAAGAGUCCAAAACACAAGGUCACCGCCUGGGCCUCCGCACAGAUGACCUCCUUGGUCCCGCACUUCCCAGGUAUCAACUCAUUUCAUCCUGGCAACAACCUCUCAUCACCACUGUUACUGCGCUUUACAGAGAAGAAACCGUGGCACCCACGGAGCGUGUGACCUUCCCGGAGUCACGGAAUUCGUAAGUGACCGGACAGAGAUCGGUACCGGGGGUUGUGUCCUUAAACCGCUGCCAAGGGCAGGCACCCUUUCUCUGUAAGUGGCCGGGUGGCCCUCUGGCCACUGAGGGCCGCCUACCGUUUCUGUCCCAACUCCUCGGGUCUGUUGCUGGAAUGCAGAAGCAGCGACAGCCCUAGAUAAGGGUGUGGCCGUGUGCCGGCCAGGCUUUAGAGACCCUGAAAUUUGAAUUUUGUAUCAUAUUCCACGUCAUGACAUAUUGCUCUUCUUUUGAUUUCUCCCCCUUAACCAUUUAGAAACACAAAAUCCAUUCUUAGCCCGCAGUUCAUGCCAACCUAGGGAGCGAGCCAGACUUGGUCUACAGCCCAUCCUGCGCUGACUGGCGCUCUGUGCUGGGCUGUUGUUGAUCUGAUGCUUACAACUGACCUCUUAUCAUCUCCUUUUUCCAGACAAAUCCAGCUAGAACACGUGAACGACUUGCCCUAGUUGACACAGUGAGCAGGUGGGGGAGUCGGGUUUUGCACCCAGGUUUGUCUGGACCCCAGAGGCUGUAGAGGCAGGAAGCUGGCAGAGGUGCUCAGGACACUGGGCUGAGCUGGGGGCAUCAGUGCUCUACCGUGGCCCGAGGCCAGCCGCCACUAAGCCAUGGCAGCAUCCCCUCCCCCUCUCCCUCCCCCUCGUCUGCAGGAGCCUAAUUCAGCAGCCUGAGGCUUCUCUGCCCUAAUCUGCCCCGGAGGUCCUGUUUAACUGGGACCUACAAGAGACUGAAAUAUUCUGCCCUUCAGGCCUGGAGCCAGAAAAACCCAGAGGCUGUCUUGACUUGGCCUGAUCCUGCCCCCACAACCAUUAGAGGAGGGCAGACGUGGCUUCAAAGGGCCCUGAGCUGUUCCUUGAGAAAACACUGGAGCCCUGGCCUGGCCAAGGCUGCAAAGCGGCCAGCAGGAGUGGGGGAAGGGGAGAGCUGGAGAGGCAGAGGGGCCCUGCCGUGUCGCCCAGGGAGCGCUGCCUAGUCGCUUGUGAGGGAGCCCAAUGGAGGAUGGUGCGAGAGCGAGAAGGUGUGUGAACGUAUAACUGGGUCACUUUGCUGUGCAGGGGAAUUGACAGAACAGUGCAAAUCAACUACAACAAAAGAUUUUUAAAAAUAAAAAUGAGAAAAGAAUAUGAGAGGCAGAGAGACACACAGAGAGACACAGUCACGUGCACCAUGAGUCAGAGAGAGACACAGACCCAUGUACACAGGCACAGAAGGUCCUUCACACCUGCUUUUCUGAGUCAGAACCCUGUUUCCUAGUUGUUCAGCUCUGCAGACACAGAAGAGCCAGUACUGCAGCAGUCUCUGCAGACACAUGACUUGCUGUGAAUAAUUACUUAUUUUGUCUUUUCUAGGCUUCUGCAACGUUAACUUCAUUCAAACUGGUGAGCAGCCUCGAGGUGGGCAAUGUGGAGGUUAUUUGCCUAAGGAGGAAUGCGGAGCUCGGAGAACUCCAGCAGCUUGCUCAAGAUCACACAGCAACUUAAUGGCCAAACUGGAACCAAGGGCCAAGACUCAGAACUUCCAGGGCAAUGUGAGUCUCCUACAAAACACCCUCAGAAGGAGUUCCCUUCGUGGCACAGUGGUAACGAACCCGACUAGGAUCCACGAGGUUGCGGGUUCGACCCCUGGCCUCGCUCCGUGGGUUAAGGAUCCGGCGUUGCUGUGAGCUGUGGUGUAGGUUGCAGAUGUGGCUCAGAUCCUGCGUUGCCGUGGCUGUGGUGCAGGCUGGUGGCUGCAGCUCCGAAUGGACCCCUAGCCUGGGAACCUCCAUAUGCCAAGGGUACAGCCCUAAAAAGCAAAAACAAACAAACAAAAAAACCCGAAAACAAAAACAACAACAACAAAAAACACAGCCUCGGAAGGAAAGGGGACACUGAAGGGCAGGAUUUAGUUUCUUCAUUUCCCUUCAAUAACUAGGCCCCUAACUCGGUCUUUGACGAGGAGGUGACAGUGACACAAUACGUCUGAACUUAGCGGAGCAGGGCAGCAGACCAGCAGGCAGAUUACAUCCUGGUGGCUACACAUGAUGGAAAACCGUGGAACAGAUGCCAGGGCAGCUGGCUGGGUGGUAGCUGGUGGGAAAUCGGUAACCACGGGACCUUGGCGAAUCGGUUUUUACAUAGAAGGAUGCUGUGUCCCCUGAGUUUUAUUGCUAAGACAGAACAACUUGAGUUCCCCUGCCACCUCUUCUGGGAAUGACUCUCUUCCCAACUCGGGGUGCUCACCUCCAGGGUACCUCUCAGAGCGGUAACUUGGUCCGAAGGGGCGGCGCUAGUUCCAUCUCCUGAAGGAGAAAAACCUUUACCUUUAGGCAACCUGCAGUUGCUGAGGCUGCCACAUGGGGGCACUGUUGAAACGGAGCAGCUCUGUUGCCUAGAGGCAGUGCCCCGGGACCACCAGGCCACCACUGGUCUCCAGGACUGUCAGCAAUACCCAGCCCUAGGCACAGCCCCUGCCCUCUAAAUAAAUGGCCUUAUUGACCAGAGCACAUUCCCUCUGGCUGGUCCUGCCGGUGCUUCCCAAGGGGAUUUGGGAGAAGACUUUCUCGCAGCGUCCACUCCACGACGCAGAGGCCUGGACACCCAGCCCGGUGUUUCCACGCACACUCAAACCUGGUCGCCUCACUUCCGAGGUCUGCCAGCAGUGUGCCAAGGUCGUGGGUUGGGAUGGGUUUGCAGGCCCAGGGAUAAAGUUGCCCUCUCUAGGCUCACUGGCGGGUGGCUCUUGGUUUGGGGCUGUACACUGCCCGUCUCUCUCCUGAAAGCAUCCCAGUUUCAUGAGUGGAAAUUGCCCCUCCCUGGCUGUCUUGGGGCAGGGGCACUUCUUGGCUCCUUCCUCCCACCACCGGCCUCCCCCCGCUGAAGUCAGAGAGGUCAGAUCCCUCCUCUCCUCACCUGGCUGCGUCAGUGGGGCGUCAGACGCUCUCCGCCGUGGCCUUCCAUUCUGCCACAGCCAGUUCUCUUCGUGGCAAUAGCCGUUGUGUGUCACUGAUGCCGUCCUGACCUCUGUCCCGGUCAAAGGAGGUGGUCGGUGUUCCUCCUUCCUGCGUCUUGACCUGCAGCGUUUCCUAAAAAUGCUGACCUAAGCCUGCGCUUCUGGUCUUUCAUCAGUUGUGUUAGCUCCCAGUGGCCUCCAAAAGGAAAAAAAAGUCCCCUGCUCUCUCACUUCCGGUGCUCACACCGUGAAUGCCAGGGGGGGGGAAUGUCACCCCCAAGAACGGAGGUUCACGCUUUCAUUCCCGACUCACCCCCGUUUGCUCCUGAGGACAGUCUGGGUGCCCCCACCCCGCCCCAGCAAAUCCCACUUACCCUAACCCUUCCCCGAUAAGGCGAACACAAAGGUGCGUGCUCCCCAGAUGUGGUCAGUGUUGGCGCGGGUGGUGAGACGGCUGGAGGCUCCGUUUCCCUCGAAAGCUCGCACUUGUCCCGUAGAAGAAUUUUCCCGUUUCCAUACGCUCCACUGGGUCGAUGAGAAGCAACAGCGUCUCUCUGUGUUUGUUCAAGGGCGGUGAGACAAACUGAAACAAUAACGCUCUUUUUGGUGCUGAAGGCGGCAGCCCCGUCCCCGAGCGGGUGUCCUUGAGAAGGGGACUCUCGGUGUGUGGCACCGCCCGCUGGCUGUUAUCGCCCGCCUCCUGGGUGGAUUUAUUGACAGAGCCAAGGGCAGAUCUCCCAGGCUUUGUGGCAGGCAUGUCUCAGGACACGUCCUCAGCCUCCUGUGCCCCAGGUCCCCCCACGCGCACCAGGAGGGAAACGGCACCGAACGACGCUAGGAGUUCUGCUGCUCGGUUCUGGGGCCUCUUGGAAGGUCAUUGCCUGGUGGGAGCCACACCCAGGAGAGAGCCCGGCGUCCCACUGUCUGGGUGGGAAGCGUUUAGUUGUGUCCCGGUGGACGGCACUUUUUG
ensembl:lncRNA